rnacentral:rRNA from 1 species
CGGUUGAUCCUGCCGGACCCUAUUGCUAUCGGGGUAAGACUAAGCCAUGCUAGUGGAGCGCCCCUAGCUAGUUGGGAGCGCCGCGACCGGCUCAGUUACACGUAGUUAAUCUACCCUUAGGAUGGACAUAACCCCGGGAAACUGGGGCUAAUGUCCAAUAGAUGCAAGGUCCUGGAAUGGUCUUGCAUCGAAAUGUUGUUGAAGACAUGCUCUUCGACAACGCCUAAGGAUGAGACUGCGGCCGAUCAGGUUGUUGGUGGGGUAACGGCCCACCAAACCUAUAACCGGUACGGGCCCUGAGAGGGGGAGCCCGGAGAUGGGAACUGAGACAAGGUCCCAGGCCCUACGGGGCGCAGCAGGCGCGAAAACUCCACAAUGCGCGAAAGCGUGAUGGGGUUACCCCGAGUGCCUUCCUUUGAGGAGGGCUUUUCCCCAGUGUAAGGAGCUGGGGGAAUAAAGGGGGGGCAAGACUGGUGUCAGCCGCCGCGGUAAUACCAGCCCCCUGAGUGAUAGGGACGAUUAUUUAGCCUAAAGCGUCCGUAGCCGGCCUAGCAAGUCUUUUGUUAAAUCUAACGACUUAAUCGUUAGACCGCAGAAGAUACUGCUAGGCUAGAGGGCGGAAGAGGUUGACGGUAUUCCCGGGGUAGGGGUGAAAUCCUAUAAUCCCGGGAGGACCACCAGUGGCGAAGGCUGUCAACUAGUACGCGCCUGACGGUGAGGGACGAAAGCUGGGGUAGCGAACCGGAUUAGACACCCGGGUAGUCCCAGCUGUAAACGAUGCGGGCUAGGUGUUGGGGCAGCUACGAGCUGUCCCGGUGCCGCAGAGAAGUCGCUAAGCCCGCCGCUUGGGAAGUACGGCCGCAAGGCUGAAACUUAAAGGAAUUGGCGGGGGAGCAC